rnacentral:lncRNA from 1 species
AGAGAGAGAGAAAGAGAGAGAGAGCACAUAACAUAACACAACACAACUCAACUGAACACAGUGUGAGAGAGAGAAAGAGACUAAAAGACACAUAACAUUGAUUGAUGAGGGCAUGAAAGUGGAGGUGAACCGUGACUUAAGGAUGGUUGAAGUAUUGGGUCAAAGCUACGUUGUUAUUGUUGUGUUGUAGGCACUUUACAGCGAAGUGGCAUAAACUAGUUGUUGUUGUGGUUGUUCCUGUAGGUGUUCAACCUCUGUGUGUGUGUCUUGCUUCUUUGUUCUUGGUUGGUAUUCUGGCAAUCCACCACCUUAUGCUGUGGACUCCAUGCACUGUUACUAUCAUUCAACUUUGAAAGAUUGAGUUGAC